rnacentral:lncRNA from 1 species
UGCCAAGGGAGCUGAAGACAUACAUCAACCAGAGAUUUCUCCUUCUGUAAGAUCACUUUUCUUUCUUAUGGAUGAUCUAAAGAUAGGGAAAACAAUAACAAAUCCCUCCUUUCUACAUCGUGCUUCCAUGCAAUACUUUCCCCAAAAAGCAACCGAUUCCAUUCCAUUUUUACUGAAGGAACUCCCAAACCUUCUUCAACGUUUCUCCUUAUCUAAAAACUCUCCACAUGCAAAACCCAUGAUAGAUGCAUUGAAAGACUGUGAAUCAGAAUCACUCAUAAAGGGAGAGACAAGGUACUGUGCCACAUCCGCGGAGGCAAUGCUUGAUUUUGUUCAAGGAAUCAUGGGAGAUAACACCCAAAUCGAAGCUCUGUCCACCACAACUCAUUUCUCAGAGGAGCACUCAACUACUCCCCUCCAAAACUAUACUAUUUUGGAUGCUCAAGAAUUUACCCCUCCUAAGAUGGUGGCGUGUCAUUUGAUGCCUAGUAUUUACACCGUUUUCUACUGUCAUUCCACAGUUAGCAGUAAAGGAAAGGUGUUCAAGGUUACAUUAGGGAAUGAAGCAAAGGGUGAUAGAGUGGAAACUAUGGCUUUAUGUCACUUUGAUACCUCUGAAUGGAGUCCAUCUCAUGUAUCUUUCCAAGUGCUCGGUAUAUUACCAGGAACAUCACCUGUCUGUCACUUCUUCACAUCUGGUAAUGACCUAGUGUGGGUUCCAAAAACAAUUGACGCCGGACAUGAAGUGCGCAGCUUGGAGG